rnacentral:rRNA from 1 species
AGGACUAACGCUGGCGGCGUGCCUAACACAUGCAAGUCGAACGGGGUAGCAAUACCCAGUGGCAGACGGGUGAGUAACACGUGGUCAACCUACCUCUGUGUGGGGGAUAACUAGCCGAAAGGUUAGCUAAUACCGCAUACGAUCGUUUUGAGGCAUCUCGAGACGAUGAAAGGAGCAAUCCGCACGGAGAGGGGACUGCGUCCCAUUAGUUAGUUGGUGGGGUAACGGCCUACCAAGACUCCGAUGGGUAGCUGGCUUGAGAGAGCGACCAGCCACACUGGAACUGAGAAACGGUCCAGACUCCUACGGGAGGCAGCAGUGAGGAAUUUUCCGCAAUGGGCGAAAGCCUGACGGAGCGACGCCGCGUGUGGGAUGAAGGCCUUCGGGUCGUAACCACUGUCGAAGGGACGAUAAUGACGGUACCCUUGGAGGAAGCCCCGGCUAACUACGCGCCAGCAGCCGC